GGAAGCGUGGGAGAGUGGUUUAAUCCAGCGGUCUUGAAAACCGCCGAUCAGCAAUGGUCCGUGAGUUCGAAUCUCACCGCUUCCGCCA
rnacentral:tRNA from 1 species